rnacentral:rRNA from 1 species
CAUGAAGUCGGAAUUGCUAGUAAUCGCGGAUCAGCAUGCCGCGGCGAAUACGUUCCCGGGCCUUGUACACACCGCCCGUCACACCAUGAGAGCCGGUAACACCCGAAGUCAGGAGCCUAACCGCGAAGGGGGGCACUGCCGAAGGUGGGAUUGGUGAUUAGGGUGAAGUCGUAACAAGGUAGC